GGGCAGCGGUGCUGGCGCGAGGCGCUCUGCGGGCCGGGCAAGAGGCGCGGGGACCAAGGCGAGGACGGAGGCAUACGGCGCGCAGGAGAAUAGGCGUGGGGGCCGAGGUGUUCACCUCCUGCCUGUGUGUUCACAGAGGUCCUGCCGAGGUUGGUCCAUGAGAGCUCUUCCUGGAAGGCAGGUUGUGUGGCCCUGAAGACAUUGGCAGCUGGCGUCCUGAGGACCUUGGCGUGAUCACUAAUGGGCCCGGUCGGUUUGCACAACAUUGGACAGACCUGCUGCCUUAACUCCCUGAUUCAGGUGCUGAUUAUGAAUGUGGGAUUAACCAAGAUACUGAAGAGGAUGACAGUACCAAGGGGAGCUGAGGAGCAGAGGAGAAAUGUCCCCUUCCAGCUGCUCUUGCUGCUGGAGAAGAUGCAGGACAGCCGGCAGAAGGCGGUGCAACCCAUGGAACUUGCCUACUGUCUCCAGAAGUACAAUAUACCAUUGUUUGUCCAGCACGAUGCUGCCCAGCUCUACCUCACCAUCUGGAACCUGAUCAAGGACCAGAUCACGGAUGUGGACUUGGUGGCGAGGCUGCAGGCCCUCUAUACCAUCCGCGUGAAGGAGUCCUUUGUCUGCCUUGAAUGUACCACGGAGCAUGUCAGGAACAGCAGCAUGCUGACCCUCCCCCUUUCGCUGUUUGACAUGGACUCAAAGCCCCUGAAAACGCUGGAGGAUGCCCUGCACUGCUUCUUCCAGCCCAGGGAGUUGUCCGGCAGAGACAAGUGCUUCUGUGAGAACUGUGGCAGGAAGACCUGUUGGAAGCAGGUCCUGAAGCUGAGCCGCCUGCCCCAGACCUUGACCCUGCACCUCAUGCGGUUCUCCAUCAAAAAUCUGCGGACAGAAAAAGUCUGCCACUCACUGUAUUUCCCCCAGAGCUUGGAUCUGAACCCGCUCCUUGAGACGGAGGAAGAGCCCUGUACUGCUGAGGGGCAGCCUGGGGGACGGUAUGAGCUCUUCGCUGUGAUCGCCCACAUGGGGCUGGCCGACUUCGGUCACUACUGCGCCUACGUCCGGAGCGCUGCGGAUGGAAAAUGGUUCUGCUUCAAUGACUCCAAUGUCUGUUGGGUGAGAAACAUCAUCCAGAAUUGCCUCUUGCCCUGGAUUCGCCAUCUCUUACAAGCUUUGAGCCUGGGACUAGAGGGGCCAUCUAGGCCAAGACGCACUGUGGUCUGUUCUCUGGGGGGAGAGGGGCUGCUGUGGGUUUGGAGGCCCUUUUCCGCCUGGAGUCCCCAUCUGGUUUGCAGCCCUGCCACCCUCCAUGAAGCUCAGUAUCUAGGUUGUUGGGGUUCUAGGCUCAGUGCCCUGCAGCCGUGUGCUCUGGGGGAAACUUAUGGAAAGCAAGGUGAGUUAGAAAUAAGUGAGACCUCCAGGCAAGGCGUAUCCAUGUUUCAGCAGAGGGACAAGGUACGAGAGACCCGUGGCGCCGCUGACUGGAUGAUCUGGGUCGUGGGCGGUACGGGAGUGGCUUGUCUGGACCAGUGGGGGAAGGCAGCUUGUAGCGCCGUUACUCUUUGGCCACUUGACCUUGUCUGUGUCCUUCCAGGUGUCCUGGGAAGACAUCCAGUGUACUUAUGGAAAUCACAGCUUCCGCUGGUGAGAGAAGUGCUGGGGUGGUGGGGUCCCAGCGAGCGCUCACAUGGGGUGCCUGUUGGUCUGUGAAACCCAUACAGACUCAGCAGCCACUGGUAUCUGCUCAGCCUCAUCUCUCAGUGCCCACCCCCCACACACUGCUUUUCCGCACAGUUUAGAGGCCAGCAGUGCUGAAGUAUCUGUGGCUUUGAAUGUGCUGUUCCUGCCUGUUCCUCACCAAGGCCGACUCUCACUCCUGCUUCAGUACUUCUGCUCAUGCCUGCCUGCUCUGUAAACUCUUUCCUGAGCCAUCCAGGCAGGUUUGUAGAUGCUUCUCGGAUGCUUUCCCUGCCUGUGGUGCAAAUCUCCUUUGCAGCAAGGGUCACACUGCUUUCUGAUUGUUUGCUUACAUGGCGCCCUUUCAGCCCUUUCACAUUAACCAUGAACUUUUUGGAGGCAAGGAUCAUUCUUUGCUUCAUUGGUACAUGUGCUAAAUUUUGCAUGUGCUAAAUAACAAUACAUAUGCUGUUAAAAAUCCGAACCUGCAGAAGGGGAGCUGGAGAGGAGAAGCUGGGUGAAGUUAGAGACUUUGCGGGAAACUGCAUAUCUUCUGGUUUACAUGAUGGCUGAGUCCUGACUGAUGCAUCUACACCUUCAGAGACUUACGGAGUAUCAUUUUCCUUUUCUCCUCCUGGGUCUGCAGACUCUUCGAUUCUGUGGUGAAGAGAGUCACCAUUUUCAGGUUGUUUGAUUAAACUUUAUUUAUAAUCAGUGGUGAUUAUAAGACUAUUUAACAGUGACCUUGUGCAGGUCUGGAUCAGCCAGAAUGGAUACUUCCACCAGUGGACCCUGGCUGCAUGGUUAGCAGGUCCUGAGCCCUUCUGCUGUCAAGGCAGUGGACUUUUGGUUAGGAGAUUGUAGCAUCCAGGUGCUCCCAGGGGAGGAGAGGCCAAGCCCGCAGUGGUAGGGGGAGCUGGUUGGGUGGCAGGGGCCAAGCCCAUGUGACUGUACUGGUAUGUCCUGGCUGUAUUUCACUUCUGUUUGUAAUUUGAAAAAUUUUUAUUGAAAAAUUUUUAGAAGCUGUAUCAAUUACAUAAAACUCAAGUGCUUUGUAAUUGUUAUUCAUUUAUUUGACACAUAUGUAUUGGUCACCGACUCUCCAGGAGAUAGUGUGCCGGCCACAAUGAGGAAUAAAAUUCUUUCUCUCAAAAGGA